rnacentral:rRNA from 1 species
UACGUAGGGGGCAAGCGUUGUCCGGAAUCAUUGGGCGUAAAGAGCGUGUAGGCGGCCCGAUAAGUCCGCUGUGAAAGUCCAGGGCUCAACCCUGGAAUGCCGGUGGAUACUGUCGGGCUCGAAUCCGGAAGAGGAGAGUGGAAUUCCCGGUGUAGCGGUGAAAUGCGCAGAUAUCGGGAAGAACACCCGUGGCGAAGGCGGCUCUCUGGGACGGUACUGACGCUGAGACGCGAAAGCGUGGGGAGCGAACAGG